rnacentral:rRNA from 1 species
GACGAACGCUGGCGGCGUGCUUAACACAUGCAAGUCGAACGGUGAAGCUCCAGCUUGCUGGAGUGGAUCAGUGGCGAACGGGUGAGUAACAAGUGAGCAACCUGCCCCUGACUCUGGAAUAAGCGCUGGAAACGGCGUCUAAUACUGGAUACGAGAAGGGUCCGCAUGGGCACUUUCUGGAAAGUUUUUCGGUUGGGGAUGGGCUCGCGGCCUAUCAGCUUGUUGGUGAGGUAAUGGCUCACCAAGGCGACGACGGGUAGCCGGCCUGAGAGGGCGACCGGCCACACUGGGACUGAGACACGGCCCAGACUCCUACGGGAGGCAGCAGUGGGGAAUAUUGCACAAUGGGCGAAAGCCUGAUGCAGCGACGCCGCGUGAGGGAUGACGGCCUUCGGGUUGUAAACCUCUUUCAGCAGGGAAGAAGCGAAAGUGACGGUACCUGCAGAAGAAGCACCGGCUAACUACGUG